rnacentral:rRNA from 1 species
AGUGAACGCUGGCGGUAGGCCUAACACAUGCAAGUCGAACGGCAGCACAGGAGAGCUUGCUCUCUAGGUGGCGAGUGGCGGACGGGUGAGGAAUACAUCGGAAUCUGCCCAGUCGUGGGGGAUAACGCAGGGAAACUUACGCUAAUACCGCAUACGACCUUCGGGUGAAAGAGGGGGAUCGCAAGACCUCUCGCGAUUGGAUGAGCCGAUGUCGGAUUAGCUAGUUAGCGGGGUAAUGGCCCACCAAGGCGACGAUCCGUAGCUGGUCUGAGAGGAUGAUCAGCCACACUGGAACUGAGACACGGUCCAGACUCCUACGGGAGGCAGCAGUGGGGAAUAUUGGACAAUGGGCGCAAGCCUGAUCCAGCCAUACCGCGUGGGUGAAGAAGGCCUUCGGGUUGUAAAGCCCUUUUGUUGGGAAAGAAAUCUUUCAGGCUAAUACCCUGGGAGGAUGACGGUACCCAAAGAAUAAGCACCGGCUAACUUCGUG